rnacentral:rRNA from 1 species
UACAGAGGGGGCAAGCGUUGUCCGGAUUUACUGGGCGUACAGCGCGCGCAGGCGGGGCGCCAGGUGCCGUGUGACAGCCCCCUGCUCAACAGGGGGGGACAGGGUAGACCGGCGCGCUAGAGGCCGAGAGAGGGUGGUGGAAUCCCCGGUGGAGCGGUGAAAUGCGUAGAGCUCGGGGGGAACACCAGCGGCGCAGGCGGCCACCUGGCUCGGUGCUGACGCUGAGGCGCGAGAGCGUGGGGAGCGAACCGGAUUAGAAACCCCCGUAGUCC